rnacentral:rRNA from 1 species
ACGCUCGACACCUACGGGGGGCAGCAGUGGGGAAUAUUGCACAAUGGGGGAAACCCGUGAUGCAGCGACGCCGCGUGGAGGAAGAAGGUCUUCGGAUUGUAAACUCCUGUUGUUGGGGAAAAGAGGAUGGUACCCAACAAGGAAGUGACGGCUAACUACGUGCCAGCAGCCGUGGUAAUCUGAGCGGGCUGGCAAGGC